rnacentral:rRNA from 1 species
GUGGGGAAUAUUGCACAAUGGGCGAAAGCCUGAUGCAGCAACGCUGCGUGAGGGACGACGGCCUUCGGGUUGUAAACCUCUUUUAGUAGGGAAGAAGCGAAAGUGACGGUACCUGCAGAAAAAGCACCGGCUAACUACGUGCCAGCAGCCGCGGUAAUACGUAGGGUGCAAGCGUUAUCCGGAAUUAUUGGGCGUAAAGAGCUCGUAGGCGGUCUGUCGCGUCUGCUGUGAAAACUGGAGGCUCAACCUCCAGCCUGCAGUGGGUACGGGCAGACUAGAGUGCGGUAGGGGAGAUUGGAAUUCCUGGUGUAGCGGUGGAAUGCGCAGAUAUCAGGAGGAACACCGAUGGCGAAGGCAGAUCUCUGGGCCGUAACUGACGCUGAGGAGCGAAAGCGUGGGGAGCGAACAGGAUUAGAUACCCUUGUAGUCC